ACUCCUACGGGAGGCAGCAGUGGGGAAUAUUGCACAAUGGGCGCAAGCCUGAUGCAGCCAUGCCGCGUGUGUGAAGAAGGCCUUGGGUUGUAAAGCACUUUCAGUCGUGAGGAAGGUAGUGUAGUUAAUAGCUGCAUUAUUUGACGUUAGCGACAGAAGAAGCACCGGCUAACUCCGUGCCAGCAGCCGCGGUAAUACGGAGGGUGCGAGCGUUAAUCGGAAUUACUGGGCGUAAAGCGCAUGCAGGUGGUUUGUUAAGUCAGAUGUGAAAGCCCGGGGCUCAACCUCGGAAUAGCAUUUGAAACUGGCAGACUAGAGUACUGUAGAGGGGGUAGAAUUUCAGGUGUAGCGGUGAAAUGCGUAGAGAUCUGAAGGAAUACCGGUGGCGAAGGCGGCCCCUGGACAGAUACUGACACUCAGAUGCGAAAGCGUGGGAGCAAACAGGAUUAGAUACCCCUGGUAGCGACUGA
rnacentral:rRNA from 1 species